CCUAGUCCCAAUUCAACGCAUUCACGCCUAACCCACAUCAGACAUCACCAUUUUCUCAAUUCAACAUUCUCUCUCUAUCUCUCUGUCGCCCAUCUCUCUCUCUAUUACCAUGGGUGAAUCUUGCUUUCCUAACAUCAAAACAUCACAAAUCUUUGCUUCUUCAGCGAUUCAUUUGCUCCAUCGAUAAAAAGGCACUCCUCAGAUCCAUCUGCGAUUUCUUCCGCCAACUUCCAUUUUAGCGAUUCAUUCUCCAUUUCUUCCGCCAGCUGCUAUACUACCGCGACGAAUUCGGCGACCGCGCUUACAUCCCCGGUCGAUCCGCAACGCUUACAUCGCUAUCUAGGCCUGGAAGCAGGUCAUCUCAGAUCCGGUGGCAGAAAUCUAGAUCCGGUGGCGGAGAGCUCAGAUCUGGUGGCAGAGAGCUCACGGAGGAUGGUCGCUGGCUUCUCUUCCAUUUCCGAUGCACAGAGCGCAGGAUGGGGUUGAAGAUAUUGAAAAGAGGAGAUACUGUAAUGAAUAUGGAUCCAAGAUUACAAAGAAGUCUAGCUUCCAUUGAGGCGGCGGCACAUCUAUGUGUUGCGCCUUCAAGAUCGGUAUUGUAUUUUUUUCACAGUAUUUGUUCUUUCAAAUACAAUACAAUUAUUUUUUUCACGAUUUUUGGCCCUUUUAAUUUGGUUUUGUUUGAAUUUAGUUUGUAAAAGAAUUGUUAAGACAUUAUAUUGUAUUGUAUUGUUUUUUCUUUAAUUUCUUUUUCAUUUGUAUAUUCAGAGUUGAUGAGUGUAUUAGUGUAUUGUAUA